UACAGAGGGUGCAAGCGUUGUUCGGAAUUAUUGGGCGUAAAGCGCGUGUAGGCGGCUUUGCAAGUCGGGUGUGAAAGCCCUCGGCUCAACCGAGGAAGUGCGCCCGAAACUGCAGAGCUUGAGUACCGGAGAGGAUGGCGGAAUUCCCCAAGUAGAGGUGAAAUUCGUAGAUAUGGGGAGGAACACCGGUGGCGAAGGCGGCCAUCUGGACGGAUACGUGACGCUGAGACGCGAAAGCGUGGGGAGCAAACAGG
rnacentral:rRNA from 1 species